GCCUGGGUGGCGAAAUUGGUAGACGCAAAGGUCUCAAACACCUUCGGGGGCAACCCCAUGCCGGUUCGAGUCCGGCCCCAGGUACUA
rnacentral:tRNA from 3 species